UACGUAGGGGGCAAGCGUUGUCCGGAAUUAUUGGGCGUAAAGAGCGUGUAGGCGGUCCGGUAAGUCAGCUGUGAAAGUCAAGGGCUCAACCCUUGAAAGCCGGUUGAUACUGUCGGGCUAGAGUCCGGAAGAGGCGAGUGGAAUUCUCGGUGUAGCGGUGAAAUGCGUAGAUAUCGAGAGGAACACCUGCGGCGAAAGCGGCGCGCUGGACCACUACUGACGCUGAGGAACGAAAGCUAGGGGAGCAAACAGG
rnacentral:rRNA from 1 species